ensembl:ncRNA mir-315 mir-315 stem loop
CACUUAUAUAAUUUUGAUUGUUGCUCAGAAAGCCCUCAUUGUUUACCAGUUGGCUUUCGAGCAAUAAUUGAAACCAGAUAAGUG